UUAUUUAUUAAGCAAUAUAAUAUAUAUAAUCUUCUGAAAUGACUCUUAUUUAAGUGUAAAUUGCUGCAAAUCUGUAUUGAUAGAUUAUUCAUAAUGUUGAAUGUAACAUUUUCGUUAUAUUUUUAUAAUAUUGGUUGUAGAGAUAAAUUUCUUCCAGUUUUUAGGUAAAAUCAAAAUUUUAUUUUAAAAAGACUAAAAAAGGCUCAAUUGUCCAAAUAUUCUCUAUUAUUAUCGAGAUGAUUUUAUACCAUUGUGAUAGGAACUUGACGGCUUUGAGGCGAUAGAAUAUCGAGACAUUUUCGGACAUUGUCAUCUGUCGUGAAAUAUGUAUUUGCCAAAUGACAUAAUGACUUAAACAAGUGGUAAUCUGAAGGACCCAUUGUUUGGCAAAUAAGCCACGUAAGAGAGAACUUCCAGCUCAAGAUGACACUUUUUGUCGUCUUUACUGCUUGUGAAGUCAUGGAGCAAAAUGACCUUACGAUUGCUCAUCAGUAAAUGGCAUUUCGACAAGUUGGUAGCGCUUAGCAAUUACUAUUUUUCCUGUAUUUAGUAACUCAUAACACAUAAUUUCUUUCAUGUCCCACUAGAUGCACAGUAAUAUCUUCUUGAUUGUUGAACUUAAGUCAAAAUCACCCUUCUCAAAUCAUUUAUUUUCAUUUCUACUCAAUUCUUUUACCAUAAGAAUAGCUUCAAUUACGACUUUUUUAAUAUUAAAUGCAAAAAAUACAACGAAUAUACUAUUUACUAAGUGUCGAUACAUCAUUGAAAUGUUCCUAAGGAACAAUACGAUCUAUAAUCUUCCGAAAUCUCUGAAUUAUUAUGAAUAUGGAGAAAUAAAUAGAGAAAUAACUGUGCCCGAUAAUAGUCUAUCAUAUAAUAGUUAUUGCUUGAUGGCACACCUCAAAAGGAUUAGUAAGAUGGUCAACAAGAGACGUGUCUUCUGCCUCACGAAGAACAACGCGAAGAUGUAAUAACAUUUUAUUUCAUUGUAUCACAUGGGAGCAGGUCAUAACAUCAGUAGAAUUGGAUAAUUGCCGAAAACAUAAUGCCACUAUUCUUCUAAUGUUGAACAGUAACAUCAAGUAGAAUAUGAUCACCUUUAAUAAGAAGACACAAAAGAGAAGACACAUCGGAUUUGAAUUCUUGGAUACAGAGUUUUGUUCCGGCAGGAUCGCAGAAUGGACGAAAAUGCGAUACUCGCGAGAUGAAGAGUGAGGCGCGCGUGCGCGCGAAAAAGGAUGAUGAGCCCAAAAGUGUCACAAACGUAAUACUUGCAGCUCCAUGAACUCCUCUAAAUUCGUUCAAAAAAGAGGAAAUUGUAAAGGAUGGUAAGGCUUCAAUCUCCACCGGACUGGGCUCGUAAUAAGAUUGGAUAAUUAUAACAUGGAAUCCUGAAGUAAUACACAAAGUUUCGAGGCUUCAGUAGUGCAGUCACUCGUUCGUUGUAAAAAAUUUAAAUAAAAUUAGAUUAAAUCAA